rnacentral:misc_RNA from 1 species
UCGAGACCGAACGAACGGACGACCGCGAACGUGUUAUUAUUAUCUUACCAACUCAUCUCCGGCUCGUCCGCGUCGCUCCUCACGGCGCGGCGCGACGAGACGGAGGGAACGAAACCCCGGCGCAGUGGGCGCCAAGGAGCACUUUUCGGAAGCGCCGUCGCGGCCUCCUCCCCCUCCCCUUGUCGUGCUGCUGCUGCUGCUGCGUAUAUAUACACGCACGCACGCACGCACACAACAACAACGGUAGGAAGGAGGGCGGAACGCGGGCGUGGAUAUAGAUAUCGUAUUUUGUACGACUCUCGGCAACGGAUAUCUAGGCUCUCGCAUCGAUGAAGAACGUAGCGAAAUGCGAUACUUGGUGUGAAUUGCAGAAUCCCGUGAACCAUCGAGUCUUUGAACGCAAGUUGCGCCCGAGGCCAUCCGGUCGAGGGCACGCCUGCCUGGGCGUCACGCCUCCCGUCGCUCCCCACCACAGUCGUGGUGCGGAUGCGGAGAUUGGCCCACCGUGCCCCGUGCGCGGCGGGUCGAAGUGCGGGCCGUCGUCGGGCCGUGCGCGGCGAAUGGUGGACGAAUACAGCUGCAGCAUCGCUGUCUGUCUGUUUGUUUGUGCCUACUCUCCGUGCCUCGGCCCCCAACCAAGAAAGCGACGUGCCGUCGUCGGACCCCAUACCGUGGACUGCUCGUCCUCGGAACG